CAGCCCUCACCUCUCAUGUUCCUUUAACAUCCAGUGGCCUGUAAUGGACAAUACAAUUGCAUUUUCACAAUGGAGACAACUAAGACUGAAUCUGUGUAGGCACCUAUCCCCUCUUCUGGCAGAAAGCAGAUAUGUUCUUUUCCUCUGUUCCAGUAUGACCCUGAAGUAAAUGACCUGUGAAUAGAGUCACAUUGGGGAUUUUCUAAAGGACUUUCUUGC